UGCUAGUAUAUGCAAUGGUGUCCGAGU
rnacentral:piRNA from 1 species